rnacentral:tRNA from 1 species
GCAUUGAUGGUUCAGCAGUAGAAUUCUCAUCUUUCAUUCAGGAGACCUGGGUUCGAUUCCCAGCCAAUGUA